rnacentral:rRNA from 1 species
CUACGGGUGGCUGCAGUGGGGAAUAUUGCACAAUGGAGGAAACUCUGAUGCAGCAACGCCGCGUGGAGGAUGACACUUUUCGGAGCGUAAACUCCUUUUAUAUAGAAAGAAGAUGACGGUACUAUAUGAAUAAGCGCCGGCUAACUCCGUGCCAGCAGCCGCGGUAAUACGGAGGGCGCAAGCGGUACUCGGAAUCACUGGGCGUAAAGAGCGUGUAGGCGGAUUAAAAAGUCAGAAGUGAAAUCCUAUAGCUUAACUAUAGAACUGCUUCUGAAACUCUUAAUCUAGAAUAUGGGAGAGGUAGAUGGAAUUUCUGGUGUAGGGGUAAAAUCCGUAGAGAUCAGAAGGAAUACCGAUUGCGAAGGCGAUCUACUAGAACAUUAUUGACGCUGAGACGCGAAAGCGUGGGGAGCAAACAGGAUUAGAUACCCCUGUAGUC